rnacentral:rRNA from 1 species
CAGCCGCCGCGGGAAUACGGAGGGUGCAAGCGUUAAUCGGAAUUACUGGGCGUAAAGCGCACGCAGGCGGUCUGACAAGUCAGAUGUGAAAUCCCCGGGCUUAACCUGGGAACUGCAUUUGAAACUGUCAGGCUGAAGUCUUGUAGAGGGGGGUGGAAUUCCAGGUGUAGCGGUGAAAUGCGUAGAGAUCUGGAGGAAUACCGGUGGCGAAGGCGGCCCCCUGGACAAAGACUGACGCUCAGGUGCGAAAGCGUGGGGAGCAAACAGGAUUAGAUACCCCUGUAGUCCCUGUCUCUUAUAA